GACGAACGCUGGCGGCGUGCUUAACACAUGCAAGUCGAACGAUGAAGCCGGAGCUUGCUCCGGUGGAUUAGUGGCGAACGGGUGAGUAACACGUGAGCAAUCUGCCCUUGACUCUGGGAUAACUGCGGGAAACUGUAGCUAAUACCGGAUACGACACCUUGGGGCAUCCCAGGGUGUGGAAAGAAUUUCGGUCAAGGAUGAGCUCGCGGCCUAUCAGCUAGUUGGUGAGGUAAUGGCUCACCAAGGCGACGACGGGUAGCCGGCCUGAGAGGGGAACCGGCCACACUGGAACUGAGACACGGUCCAGACUCCUACGGGAGGCAGCAGUGGGGAAUAUUGCACAAUGGGCGAAAGCCUGAUGCAGCAACGCCGCGUGAGGGAUGAAGGCCUUCGGGUUGUAAACCUCUCUUAGCAGGGAAGAAGCGAAAGUGACGGUACCUGCAGAAAAAGGACCGGCCAACUACGUGCCAGCCGCCGCCGUAA
rnacentral:rRNA from 1 species